GAUGAAGAACGUAGCAAAAUGCGAUACUUGGUGUGAAUUGCAGAAUCCCGUGAACCAUCGAGUUUUUGAACGCAAGUUGCGCCCGAAGCCUUUUGGCCGAGGGCACGUCUGCCUGGGCGUCACGCAUCGCGUCGCCCCCCACAAUUCUCCGUAAAGGGAACGUGUGUUUUGGGGGCGGAUAUUGGUCUCCCGUGCUCAUGGCGUGGUUGGCCGAAAUAGGAGUCCUUUCGAUGGACGCACGAACUAGUGGUGGUCGUAAAAACCCUCGUCUUUUGUUUCGUGCUGUUGCUCGCAAGGUAAACUCUUUAAAAACCCCAAUGUGUCGUCUCUUGACGACGCUUCGACCGCGACCCCAGGUCAGGCGGGACUACCCGCUGAGUUUAAGCAUAUCAAGCGGAGGA
rnacentral:misc_RNA from 1 species